UACGUAGGGGGCAAGCGUUGUCCGGAAUUACUGGGCGUAAAGGGCUCGUAGGCGGCCAACUAAGUCGGACGUGAAAUCCCCUGGCUCAACCUGGGAACUGCGUCCGAUACUGGAUGGCUUGAAUCCGGGAGAGGGAUGCAGAAUUCCAGGUGUAGCGGUGAAAUGCGUAGAUAUCUGGAGGAAUACCGGUGGCGAAGGCGGCAUCCUGGACCGGCAUUGACGCUGACGGAGACGAAAGCCAGGGGAGCAAACGGG
rnacentral:rRNA from 1 species